rnacentral:rRNA from 1 species
GACGAACGCUGGCGGCGUGCCUAAUACAUGCAAGUCGAACGCAGUGGGGACGGGGGAGUAACACGUGGGUAAACUCCCAUCAGAGGGGAUAACACUUGGAAACAGGUGCUAAACUGAUACUGAUGGAUGAACCCGCGGUGCUUUUGCUAGUUGGUGAGGUACCGGCUCACCAAGGCCACGAUGCAUAGCCGACCUGAGAGGGUGAUCGGCCACCAUGUGACGGGGACACGGCCCAGACUCCUACGGGAGGCAGCAGUAGGGAAACUUCGGCAAUGGACGGAAGUCUGACCGAGCAACGCCGCGGGAGUGAAGAAGGUUUUCGGAUCGUAAAGCUCUGUUGUUAGAGAAGCGGUAACUAACCAGAAAGGGACGGCUAACUACGUGCCAGCCGCCGCGGUAAUUC